CGGGAAGAGCUCAAAUUUGAAAUCUGGCGUCCUCAGGGCGUCCGAGUUGUAAUCUAUAGAGGCGUUUUCCGUGCCGGACCGUGUCCAAGUUCCUUGGAACAGGAUAUCAAAGAGGGUGACAAUCCCGUACUUGACACGACGACCGGUGCUCUGUGAUACGUCUUCUACGAGUCGAGUUGUUUGGGAAUGCAGCUCAAAAUGGGUGGUGAGUUCCAUCUAAAGCUAAAUAUUGGCGAGAGACCGAUAGCGAACAAGUACCGUGAGGGAAAGAUGAAAAGCACUUUGGAAAGAGAGUUAAACAGUACGUGAAAUUGUUGAAAGGGAAACGAUUGAAGUCAGUCGUGACCGAGAGGCUCAGCCGGUUCUGCCGGUGUAUUCCCCUCGGUCGGGUCAACAUCAGUUUUGUCCGGUGGAUAAGGACGGUAGGAAGGUGGCACCCUCGGGUGUGUUAUAGCCUGCCGUCGCAUACAUCGGGUGAGACUGAGGAACGCAGCUCGCCUUUAUGGCCGGGGUUCGCCCACGUCCGAGCUUAGGAUGUUGACAUAAUGGCUUUAAACGACCCGU
rnacentral:rRNA from 1 species